GUGUUCACUUUGGCAGCACACACACCAAAAAUUGGAGUGAUACAGAGAAGAUUAGCAUGGCCCCUGGGCAAAAAUGACAUGCAAAUCAUAAGCAUUCCAUAUUUUA
ensembl:snRNA U6 U6 spliceosomal RNA